UUCUCACCACAUAAAAUCAAUUUAUAUAUGAGAAAACUAAAAAAUAUUAUUAUUUUAUUACCUAUUAAGGAUAAGAAUUGAUUGGUUUUGAUUUGAAGUCAAAUUGGUUUGAAUUUCAACUUAAAACUUUAUUCAUAUCCUUCCACACGUUGGCAGUUUCUGAAGGUGCCCAUUGUGUAUGAGAAAAAAAAGUCUUUCCAAU
rnacentral:lncRNA from 1 species